rnacentral:rRNA from 1 species
UGCCGGCGACCGGCGGACGGGUGCGUAACGCGUAUGUAACCUACCUUUGACAGGGGGAUAACAUCGAGAAAUUGGUACUAAUACCCCAUAACAUCACCGGAGGCAUCUUCGGUGGUUGAAAACUCAGGUGGUCAGAGAUGGACAUGCGUUGUAUUAGCUAGUUGGUGAGGUAACGGCUCACCAAGGCGACGAUACAUAGGGGGACUGAGAGGUCAACCCCCCGCAUUGGUACUGAGACACGGACCAAACUCCUACGGAAGGCAGCAG